AACGCCACUUCACAAAAAAAAGCUUAUUUGGGUUAGGAGAGAAAGUUUUCAUCAACAGAUCCAAACUCUUAACCCUAAAAAUCAACCAUGUCUUCCAAGCAAGGUGGAAAAGCAAAGCCUUUGAAGGCACCAAAGACUGAAAAGAAGGAGUAUGAUGAGAAUGACAAGGCUUUUCUUGCAAAGAAGAAGGAAGAAGAAAAGGCCCUGAAGGAGCUCAAGGCAAAGGCUCAGAAAGGGUCCAUUGGCGGUACUGGCUUGAAAAAGAGCGGAAAGAAGUGAGGAUGUGAUAUUCUUCCUCCUAGUAUUAAAAAGCCCUUAUCCAUGGCUUGGUUUGGUGUUGUUCUAAGUUCAAAUAGUGUUACGUUUUUGUUAACUUUUGGGAUGUUUCUGUGUUGACUGAAUGAAUUAGGACCAGGGCACUUGCUCCUUUCCAAUAUAUACUGACAUGUAUUGUGGUGCUUUUGACUAUC
rnacentral:misc_RNA from 1 species